rnacentral:rRNA from 1 species
UGCUUCGGUAACUGACCUAGCGGCGGACGGGUGAGUAAUACUUAGGAAUCUGCCUAUUAAUGGGGGACAACAUCUCGAAAGGGAUGCUAAUACCGCAUACGCCCUACGGGGGAAAGCAGGGGAUCACUUGUGACCUUGCGUUAAUAGAUGAGCCUAAGUCGGAUUAGCUAGUUGGUGGGGUAAAGGCCUACCAAGGCGACGAUCUGUAGCGGGUCUGAGAGGAUGAUCCGCCACACUGGGACUGAGACACGGCCCAGACUCCUACGGGAGGCAGCAGUGGGGAAUAUUGGACAAUGGGGGGAACCCUGAUCCAGCCAUGCCGCGUGUGUGAAGAAGGCCUUAUGGUUGUAAAGCACUUUAAGCGAGGAGGAGGCUCUCUUGGUUAAUACCCAAGAUGAGUGGACGUUACUCGCAGAAUAAGCACCGGCUAACUCUGUGCCAGCAGCCGCGGUAAUACAGAGGGUGCGAGCGUUAAUCGGAUUUACUGGGCGUAAAGCGUGCGUAGGCGGCUUUUUAAGUCGGAUGUGAAAUCCCCGAGCUUAACUUGGGAAUUGCAUUCGAUACUGGGAAGCUAGAGUAUGGGAGAGGAUGGUAGAAUUCCAGGUGUAGCGGUGAAAUGCGUAGAGAUCUGGAGGAAUACCGAUGGCGAAGGCAGCCAUCUGGCCUAAUACUGACGCUGAGGUACGAAAGCAUGGGGAGCAAACAGGAUUAGAUACCCUGGUAGUCCAUGCCGUAAACGAUGUCUACUAGCCGUUGGGGCCUUUGAGGCUUUAGUGGCGCAGCUAACGCGAUAAGUAGACCGCCUGGGGAGUACGGUCGCAAGACUAAAACUCAAAUGAAUUGACGGGGGCCCGCACAAGCGGUGGAGCAUGUGGUUUAAUUCGAUGCAACGCGAAGAACCUUACCUGGUCUUGACAUAGUAAGAACUUUCCAGAGAUGGAUUGGUGCCUUCGGGAACUUACAUACAGGUGCUGCAUGGCUGUCGUCAGCUCGUGUCGUGAGAUGUUGGGUUAAGUCCCGCAACGAGCGCAACCCUUUUCCUUAUUUGCCAGCACUUCGGGUGGGAACUUUAAGGAUACUGCCAGUGACAAACUGGAGGAAGGCGGGGACGACGUCAAGUCAUCAUGGCCCUUACGACCAGGGCUACACACGUGCUACAAUGGUCGGUACAAAGGGUUGCUACCUAGCGAUAGGAUGCUAAUCUCAAAAAGCCGAUCGUAGUCCGGAUUGGAGUCUGCAACUCGACUCCAUG